rnacentral:tRNA from 1 species
AAUGAAGUGCCUGAUAAAAAGGACUAUUUUGAUAGAAUAGAUUAUGUAUGAAUUUACCUUCAUUA